AAAAUAUCGAAGUCGAAGACCAUAUAAGAUUUUUUUUUUGGCCAACAAUAACUAAUCUGCUACGAAAUACUCACCGAUUCGGAAUGAUCAUAUAAGAUCAAACUUCAAAGUAUGGUGAUAUGUUAAUGUCUGCACUAAAUCUAUCCGCUUAUUUUAUUAACGUUUUAACCUAAAAUAUUUAAAAACUAUAAAGUCUUGCAUCCGUAAUUACCCAGCUAAAUUCAUGAAAUUGAAUUUGAUUAAAGUCUUUAAUUAUUUGAAUAGUCUUAAAAGAUGGUACAUAGCUGAUGUAAAAAAGCGCGUUCUUGAAGAGAACAGGAAGUCGUACAAGCUUUUAGUCAAAAAAAAAAAGUCGUACAAGCUUAAUACUUCAAUGUUUUUUUAUUCGCGAGACGGUUGAUUAUGUCUGCUUAAAACUAUAUAUAUACUCACUGCUGGUCAAGACAAGAACAACAACGAAACAAUGACAAAGAUUCUUCUAAGCUUGCUCCAUAUACUUUUAUGUGUGUCUUUACAUGGUGUGGCAGAGGCUAGUUUCAGUCACCUAGGUGUUGCAAAAUGGACAAAAAGGAUAGGCGUAGGACCUUCCCCACCUUGUGGAGCUCCUCCUUCUAGGGGACGAGGAGAGCCUCGUCAUAAAAGACAAACAGAAAAGCCUUGUAGACGCGUUCCUCCGAGACCUCCUCGUCUACCUUAACUUGUGCUUUCGCUACAAGUUAGAAACGUUGAAUAUGUACCUAUUCAUUCACGGAUAUAAUGUAAUUUCAAUCACUAUAUAAUAAACAUGUAACGUGAAAAAAAUAAAUGCACGAAGUGAUAACGCUAUCGUUAUAAUUUCUUUCAAAAAACCAUGUAUACAUGAUAAAAAAUAUAAUAAAACGAUAAUUGGCAGCUACAGUGAUCGGCGGGAUAGUUGGCAGCUAUGUCGGGAUAGGCUUUGCAUCCUACGGUGUGAUUUUCGUGUUGCGUGUGUGACAGGCAGGUGAAGUCAUGAUUACCUUGGUGUCUGGGUUCCUAACCGGGCCUUUACUUUCUUCCUCUACUCCUCAGUCCUAGGCCGAUUCAACUCAUAGGCCUAGACGGAUCUUGAUUACCUUGGUGUAAACGAUUUAUCAAAGAUUUCAAUAAUUUUUUUAAAAAAAGUUUAAAACCUAUUUCUAUGCAAUUUUCUUCAAAAAUGUUAGGGAUUAUAGAUCAAUGCUUGACUGGUCUGCCCAGGACCGGCCUUGAAUAUCAGUGCCGUCCCUUCAAAGCAUGUGAAGCAUUAGAUUUAGGUCACAAAUUAGUUUUGAAGGCCACUUUUUUAUGCUUUCUUAGUAAUAUAAUAGAUACGUAAUGUGUUGAUCUCUUAGCAAUAUUAAGCUUGAUUCUCUUAAUUUCGUCCUUUAGAAAAACAUUUACAUUUGACAGUCUCUGUAUGAUUUUUUUAUUAUCUUCAGUUCAGUACAAACUUUUGAUUCAUGCAUAUGCUUUACAGCAAUUAGUUAAGAUAUUUAUAUUUGUACGCUGAGAAAUAUAAUUUUUGCCUUUAGGCCACCAAAAUUACGGGGACGGCACUGUUGAAUAUCAUAUAUUCUUAAACAUUAUUACUAUUGUAAUAUACCAUAUCUAACAACUAUUAAGAACCACCAGAGAGGCAUGUCAUGCAGAGUGAGCGGAUGAGUUUUAGAGGCGAGGAUGGCCAGAGCGCCCUCUAUUCUUUAAAAAAUCUGGGAUCUCUAUGGAAUUGCCUUCUGUAAAAGAUCACAGAAUGGCGCGUUAUUACUCUCAUUGAUGCAUCAGCUUAUGUAGCCGGUUCUUUUAUAUAUGGAGUUCAAAGGGAUAGCAAUCCAAUACUUAAAACAUUAUGAUGUAAGCCUUUACUAUGUUCAAAGGGAUCACAGUUUACGUAAAUCAUGACAUAAAGAUAUAUUUUAACAUUAUAUGUUCGUCACAAAAAAGUUUCAGUUUUAAUAUUACAAAUAAACAGUAUAACGUUCACAACAAACACAUCUAACUAUUUACAAAUGAAUUAGCAACGGAAAACGGUAUAGCACCCCUCCACUCAAAUUAACCUUAGAGCCAAAUCUCUCAAAUAAGAUAUCAAUUGUAGUAUUUAGGAAUUAAAUCCAGACGGAGUAGAGCACACAAUAGAUUAGACUAUAUAUAAGAAAUAAGAAAUAAGUAUUAAAUACGGUAAAUAAUUGAUAAAACAGUAAACAAAAUAGAUGUGGUUU